rnacentral:rRNA from 1 species
GCCUGCGGAGGGAUCAUUACCGAGUUUACAACUCCCAAACCCCUGUGAACAUACCUUUAAUGUUGCCUCGGCGGAUCAGCCCGCGCCCCGUAAAACGGGACGGCCCGCCAGAGGACCCAAACUCUAAUGUUUCUUAUUGUAACUUCUGAGUAAAACAAACAAAUAAAUCAAAACUUUCAACAACGGAUCUCUUGGUUCUGGCAUCGAUGAAGAACGCAGCAAAAUGCGAUAAGUAAUGUGAAUUGCAGAAUUCAGUGAAUCAUCGAAUCUUUGAACGCACAUUGCGCCCGCUGGUAUUCCGGCGGGCAUGCCUGUUCGAGCGUCAUUUCAACCCUCAAGCCCCCCGGGUUUGGUGUUGGGGAUCGGCUCUGCCUCACGGCGGUGCCGCCCCCGAAAUACAUUGGCGGUCUCGCUGCAGCCUCCAUUGCGUAGUAGCUAACACCUCGCAACUGGAACGCGGCGCGGCCAUGCCGUAAAACCCCAACUUCUGAAUGUUGACCUCGGAUCAGGUAGGAAUACCCGCUGAACUUAAGCAUAUCAAAGCCCGGAAGGA